AUGAAUUUCUGUUUCUGCGGUCAGUUUGCUCUGUUCUUUAUUCACUCAGUGUUUUCUCUUUUUUUUUUUCUACAAGUACAGUUUGCCAGUCUGGAAGAUUCGAAAAGAUUUAAGUUACACAAAAUUACAAAAAGCAUUGAACAGCACAUGCUGUAUAAUCAUAAGGUAGCCCAGAAGAACUGUGCUGUCUUGCAGCUGUUAAUCAUGCAUUUCACUCAAAAUCAGUACCCACAGAACUUAUCACAAACCUGAAUAUUCAUCAUUUGAUGUAUGGGGAUACAGAAUGGAAAAAGCAAGUAUUUUGUUUUCAUACUGUGCAUAAUA
rnacentral:lncRNA from 1 species